CAGUCGCCACGGGAAUACGAAGGGGGCUAGCGUUGCUCGGAAUGACUGGGCGUAAAGGGCGCGUAGGCGGUUCGUACAGUCGGAUGUGAAAUUCCUGGGCUUAACCUGGGGGCUGCAUUCGAUACGUGCGGGCUUGAGUGUGGAAGAGGGUUGUGGAAUUCCCAGUGUAGAGGUGAAAUUCGUAGAUAUUGGGAAGAACACCGGUGGCGAAGGCGGCAACCUGGUCCAUGACUGACGCUGAGGCGCGAAAGCGUGGGGAACAAACAGGAUUAGAUACCCCCGUAGUCCCUGUCUCUUAUAC
rnacentral:rRNA from 1 species